CCUGAGGUGGCCAGGGUCACAACUGUCAGGCCUGGGGGCAAAAAACGACCCCAGCCCAGUAGUGUAAAGCCAUAAACUGGAAGCCGCAGUUCUGGGCGCCGGAGGCUUGGCCGCCGUCCCGCGGAGCCAGUGAGUGGCUUCUAGGAAACUGGCAGGCUGGCACUGCAUUUCUGUUGAACCAGCUGCACCAUCACCCCAGCCUCCAGUCACAUAACAUGAGGCCCAGAGGGUCAUCUCCACCAAGAGCUGACCCUACCACUUGCGGAAUUCCCAGGACAAGGUGGUCCCCACACCUGGAAGACUGGACCUCCAUUCAAGGCCAACCAGUCACUCAUCCUGUGUGAAUGAAACUUCCCUCGCCCCUGAUUAAGCCAAUUCCCCUCCUUGGGGCUCCUGCAUCUGGGCAACCUCCUGUUACAGCCAAUCCCCUCAGGAAAGGAUUGAAUAAAGGGGGAAAAAAAGC